rnacentral:lncRNA from 1 species
UACACAGGGGCGACACCCAAACCUUCCUGCCUUCCCCCUCGCUGUGAACCACUCCUGGCUGCUACCAACGGCGAGGUUUCGCAGCUGCUGCAAUUGCAGCCCUGGCACUGGGGUUCGAGGACAGCUGCUCCUGCUGCGGGACCCGCCCCGUCCCCGGGCAGUGUGGCCUCUUUAGUUGGGAAACUCAAAAUUGUUUUGAAGUACAAGUAGGAGUUUGCCUGGGUGAAAAAGUUCUGGGCAGAAGAAUCAGCAUCGGUGAGGACCAGACCAAGCAGAAGGAAGAGGGGUGGGAGGGGGCUGAAGGGGCUGGGAGCAGCAGAGACACACGAAGCCAUUGCUCACAAGACCUGGGCUCUAGUCUUGGUUUAGCUACGAGCUUGCUGGGAUGCUCGGAACAAGUCCCUGCCCUUCUGGGCCUCAGUUUCCCCAUUGGUACAGUAGGGAGGCGGGGAUGGAUGCUUUGUCAGGGUUCCCUAGUACCCUUCUCGUCUCUUUCCUGGCCAGUGCAGGGGACCCAGAUAGUGAUCUUUGGAGAGGCCCAGCCUGGCCUGGAACUCCACAUUUCCUGGGCCUCUGCCUGGCCCAUUCCGGGAUUGCAGGGAAGAGAGACACUGGUGUCCUUCUCUCCUCUCUGUGCCCUGGCAAAGGGUACGAGACACACAGUGCUCUGUGACCCUGGGAGAAUCAUGUACACUGUCUCUGGGUCCUUUCCUCCAUGGUACAGCUAGCCACUGGCUGGGACCCAAGGCUCUGACAGCUGGGAGGGUGGCUGGAGGCGGGGACGCCUGCAUAGCCAAGGAAUGUGUUUACUUCCCCCAUGUGCUGGAAGGAAACUGAGCAAGGCCCCUGCUGAAUUCCUUCCCAGUCAGGCCUGCGGGCCUCUGCACCUCCUCCCCAAGCUGGCCCUAUUGUUCUAGGCAACCCCUCUUACAAGCUACAUUUCUGGGACCCUCUUGCCUCAUUUUAUAUCCCUCCAUGGAUAUAAACCCUGACACAGUUGGGGUAACCCAUUGGUGUCAGGCUUUUGGCCUGGACCCAGGACCUGGAGCCCUCCCCGCCAACUCUGUAUCUAACCACUGUGAGGCCCUGACAAGUCGCUUGCCUGCUCCAGCCUCAGUUUCCCCUUUCUAUUAUGAGGGGAUAGGAGGAAGUGGGCUCUGAAGGCUCCU